UACGUAGGGGGCAAGCGUUGUCCGGAUUCAUUGGGCGUAAAGAGCGUGUAGGCGGCCAGGUAGGUCGGUUGUGAAAACUGGAGGCUCAACCUUCAGAGGUCGACCGAAACCAUCUGGCUAGAGUCCGGAAGGGGCGAGUGGAAUUCCUGGUGUAGCGGUGAAAUGCGCAGAUAUCAGGAGGAACACCAAUGGCGAAGGCAGCUCGCUGGAACGGUACUGACGCUGAGGCGCGAAAGCGUGGGGAGCGAACAGG
rnacentral:rRNA from 1 species